rnacentral:snoRNA from 1 species
UGUCUCAUAUCAGUGAGGGACAAAACAACUCCUUGUUUAUCCCAGCUUGGCUUUUGCUCUGUGCCCAUGCCUGGUUCAUGCCCUGGACACAUGG